UGCAGUCGGACGGUAGCACAGAGGAGCUUGCUCCUCGGGUGACGAGUGGCGGACGGGUGAGUAAUGUCUGGGGAUCUGCCCGAUAGAGGGGGAUAACCACUGGAAACGGUGGCUAAUACCGCAUAACGUCGCAAGACCAAAGAGGGGGACCUUCGGGCCUCUCACUAUCGGAUGAACCCAGAUGGGAUUAGCUAGUAGGCGGGGUAACGGCCCACCUAGGCGACGAUCCCUAGCUGGUCUGAGAGGAUGACCAGCCACACUGGAACUGAGACACGGUCCAGACUCCUACGGGAGGCAGCAGUGGGGAAUAUUGCACAAUGGGCGCAAGCCUGAUGCAGCCAUGCCGCGUGUAUGAAGAAGGCCUUCGGGUUGUAAAGUACUUUCAGCGGGGAGGAAGGCGAUGAAGGUUAAUAACCUUGUCGAUUGACGUUACCCCGCAGAAAGAAGCACCGGCUAACUCCGUGCCAGCAGCCCGCGGUAAUACGGAGGGUGCAAGCGUUAAUCGGAAUUACUGGGGCGUAAAGCGCACGCAGGCGGUCUGUUAAGUCAGAUGUGAAAUCCCCGGGCUUAACCUGGGAACUGCAUUUGAAACUGGCAGGCUUGAGUCUCGUAGAGGGGGGUAGAAUUCCAGGUGUAGCGGUGAAAUGCGUAGAGAUCUGGAGGAAUACCGGUGGCGAAGGCGGCCCCCUGGACGAAGACUGACGCUCAGGUGCGAAAGCGUGGGGAGCAAACAGGAUUAGAUACCCUGGUAGUCCACGCCGUAAACGAUGUCGACUUGGAGGUUGUUCCCUUUGAGGAGUGGCUUCCGGAGCUAACGCGUUAAGUCGACCGCCUGGGGAGUACGGCCGCAAGGUUAAAACUCAAAUGAAUUGACGGGGGCCCGCACAAGCGGUGGAGCAUGUGGUUUAAUUCGAUGCAACGCGAAAGAACCUUUACCUACUCUUUGACAUCCCACGGAAUUUCGGCAGAGAUGCCUUAGUGCCUUUCGGGGAACCGUGAGACAGGUGCUGCAUGGCUGUCGUCAGCUCGUGUUGUGAAAUGUUGGGUUAAGUCCCGCAACGAGCGCAACCCUUAUCCUUUGUUGCCAGCGAUUCGGUCGGGAACUCAAAGGAGACUGCCGGUGAUAAACCGGAGGAAGGUGGGGAUGACGUCAAGUCAUCAUGGCCCUUACGAGUAGGGCUACACACGUGCUACAAUGGCGCAUACAAAGAGAAGCGACCUCGCGAGAGCAAGCGGACCUCAUAAAGUGCGUCGUAGUCCGGAUCGGAGUCUGCAACUCGACUCCGUGAAGUCGGAAUCGCUAGUAAUCGUGGAUCAGAAUGCCACGGUGAAUACGUUCCCGGGCCUUGUACACACCGCCCGUCACACCAUGGGAGUGGGUUGCAAAAGAAGUAGGUAGCUUAACCUCCGGGAGGGCGCUACCAC
rnacentral:rRNA from 1 species